ensembl:lncRNA
CUCACCUCCAGCCAGGGCGGGACUCAGCUUCCUGCCAACAUCAAUGCUGGGACGCAGCUCUAAGAAAAUCGUGGCCUCCAAUUGUCUAAGGCUGCGAACCUCAGGCCUUGUUGCUUCUCCUAGAGCAUCUCACUCCUUCUCCCUGUGACCGGCUGCCAACGGCCCCGGGAGAGGGGCUUCCCACACCCCCCGCCCAGGAUACCGCGUUUCUGGGGGUCUGUCUAAUCUCUGCACUCAGCUCUGUGCAGAGAGGCAGGCGGUCCCGCCCGGAGCAGCCCCAGCCCUCGGCCCUUGUUCCAGGGGACCGGUCCCUGCGGGGCCACCACGAGGGGAGGCUCGGAUCUCCUCUUGGUCAACAGAAACGUGCCCCACGACCACACCCCCGGAGGCUGGAGCAGAACAGACCCCGCGAGACCUCCCUGACGGUGGAUGCGCGGUCCAGACAAGUCUGUGGCCUUCAGACCUGACCUCGGGAAUCCAUCAUGUCCCUCAGCCGUCUGAAAUGUUUCCUCGAGGUCCUGAACUACAAAAGGUUUCGGCAAGUUGGAAAACGGAGACUCGAACAGUCAGAGCGCUGGCUUUGAGCCACUGAGAAGGUCCUGCGCCGGAAGGAGCCGGCGGCCCUGGAGCCCGCCCUGCCGUGCGCGCCACGAGGCGGCGCCGGAGAAGGGCCCGGGCGGCUCCAGGCUCCGGGCGUCAGGCGGGACCGGGCUCCUCCUGCGCGCGAGUCUGCACAGAGCCGGGCAGACGGCCUGUGAGCCGAGACGCAGGUGCGCACUGCCGCGGCGGAGCGAGCGCCGGGCGGAGCUCGAGAGCCGCGGUCCUCCUUUGAAAAUUGGCCUGGCGUUACAACGUUGUUAGUCUCUGCUGUACAGCACAGUGAGUCAGCUGCAUGAAUACACGGAUCCCUUCUUUCCUGGAUUUCCUUCCUACUGAGCCAUGAAAUUAAAAGACGCUUACUCCUUGGAAGGAAAGUUAUGACCAACCUAGACAGCAUAUUCAAAAGCAGAGACAUUACUUUGUCAAAAAGGUCCGUCUAGUCAAGGCUAUGGUUUUUCCAUUGGUUAUGUAUGGAUGUGAGAGUUGGACUAUAAAGAGGGCUGAGUGCAGAAGAAUUGAUGCUUUUGAACUGUGGUGUUAGAGAAGACUCUUGAGAGUCCCUUGGACUGCACGGAGAUCCAACCAGGCCAUCCUAAGGGAAAUUGGUCCUGGGUGUUCAUUGGAAAGAUUGAUGUUGAAGCUGAAACUACAGUAUUUUGGCCACCUGAUGUGAAGAGCUGAAAAGACCCUGAUGUUGGGAAAGAUUGCAGGCAGGAGGAGAAGGGGACGACAGAGGAUGAGAUGGUUGGAUGGCAUCACUGACUCAAUGGACAUGAGUUUGGGUGGACUCUGGGAGUUGGUGAUGGACAGGGAGUCCUGGCAUGCUGCGAUACAUGGGGUCGCAAAGAGUUGGACACGACUGAGCAACUGAACUGAACUGAAUGAAUGUUUACCCUAAAAUACAGUUUCUACAAGAGGGGCAGAAUAAAUGGUUAAUCUUUCCUCUUAUAUACCAGUUUCCAGAGUGAUAAGUUUGCACCUUAACAAACUCCAAGUAUAAAUAAUAUUGUUUUUUAAGUAUCAGUACUACCUCAUGGAUUUUUCUAUACUUGAUGUGUUUAAAAUAUAAUUUACUGUUAUAUUUUAGUGUAUUUAACAUGUUUAUAUAUUUU